rnacentral:rRNA from 1 species
AACGCAGCGAAGGGCGAUACGUAAUGUGAAUUGCAGAAUUCAGUGAAUCAUCGAAUCUUUGAACGCAUAUUGCGCUCUCUGGUAUUCCGAAGAGCAUGCUUGUUUGAGUAUCAGUAAACACCUCAAAGACAUUUCUGAUUUAUUUUCUGGAAUGGCUUUGGACUUGAGCAAUCCCAACACCAGUCGUUUACGAUCGGCGGAGGGUUGCUUGAAAUGCAGGUGCAGCUGGACAUUCUCCUGAGCUAUAAGCAUAUCUAUUUAGUCCCGUCAAACGGAUUAUUACUUUUGCUGCAGCUAACAUAAAGGGAGUCUGACCGUAUUGGCUGACUGAUGCAGGAUUUCACAAGGGUUGGAAACGACUCUUGUAAAACUCGAUCUCAAAUCAAGUAAGACUACCCGCUGAACUUAA